UUGACCUCAAAUCAGGUAGGACUACCCGCUGAACUUAAGCAUAUCAAUAAGCGGAGGAAAAGAAACUAACAAGGAUUCCCCUAGUAACUGCGAGUGAAGCGGGAAAAGCUCAAAUUUGAAAUCUGGCAGCUCUUUGAACUGUCCGAGUUGUAAUCUAGAGAAGUGUUACCUGUGUUGGACCGUGUACAAGUCUCCUGGAAUGGAGCGUCACAGAGGGUGAGAAUCCCGUCUUUGACACGGACUGCCUGCACGUUAUGGUGCGCUCUCAAAGAGUCGAGUUGUUUGGGAAUGCAGCUCAAAAUGGGUGGUAAAUGCCAUCUAAAGCUAAAUAUUGGCGAGAGACCGAUAGCGAACAAGUACCGUGAGGGAAAGAUGAAAAGAACUUUGGAAAGAGAGUUAAACAGUACGUGAAAUUGCUGAAAGGGAAACGCUUGAAGUCAGUCGCGUCGGCUAGAAAUCAACCUUGCUUUUGCUUGGUGUACUUUCUUGUUGACGGGUCAGCAUCAAUUUUGACCGUCGGAUAAAGUCAUUGGGAAUGUGGCAUCUUAGGAUGUGUUAUAGCCCAUUGUCGCAUACGACGGUUGGGAUUGAGGAACUCAGCACGCCCGCAAGGGACGGGUUUUUUGACCACGUUCGUGCUUAGGAUGCUGGCAUAAUGGCUUUAAUCGACCCGUC
rnacentral:rRNA from 3 species